ensembl:lncRNA
AAAUUACUGUGUUGCAUUAUCAAGCACUAGGAAGAGUACAUCUUUGUGAUGUAAAAAAAAAAUACGUAGUCAAAAUUUUAUUUGAAGGUCCUUUCUUUCCAGGUUUGAGGGAAAACAGGCAACAAAACCAAUUGCUGGUCCCAGAAAAGCAGGAGGUAUUUGCACAUAUGUGUUUUAAUAGAUUAUGUUGGUUGAAUUGGGUUCUGAAAUUAACAAUGGGAUUUUGAAGCAGGGAAUGAAUUUUUAUGAAAUCCUGUUUAUCAUUUUAAGGUAAUUAGGGAGAUUAUUAGUAGCAUAUAUAUUUACAAGUAUUGUCUUCAUGGCUUUGAUGAUAGUUAUCUGUGGGCCAGUAAAAUUGCACUAGAGGGCUGAGCCAAAGGCCACUGCAGCCAGUUGAAGUUUUUCAUUGAUUUAGUAAACUCUAAAACAUACUUAGCAAGAGCUUCCUUUGCUUUCUCACUCUGUUUCUGGAGAAGAUGACCUUUACCUACUCUGUGGUAGAGCUCCAGAAAUGUUAUGCAAUCUAUUGCAAUAUUUUUGUUACUGCUCAGUCUUUCCUUCUCUCUUUAAAGAGCCCUUGCCCAAACUGACUAUUCUUUAGUGUGCACAUUGAGGGAUCAUAGAUAAGGGAACAUAAUUAAAGAGGGUUUUGAAAUUUGUGUAGGAAAACACCUGUGUGCUCAUUCAGAGUCCUACAGCCCCAUCAGCAGGAUGUAGAGCAUGUUUGGGUCGUAGACCAUGACUAGGUGUUAUCCUCAUCAGGAUAAUAAAUAAUACACUUUCCUGUCACUUCACUCUGCCUAGUUCUUUCCCCAUUACCCAAGACAAGCUGUUGUGUGAGAAUUUUGCCUGGUUGUAGACUGCUCAUGAAUCUUGCAGUACAUGACAUGCAGACAUCUAACAAACAUGACUAGAAACUGCAUAAAAUACACAGACAUAACACGAAAGUCAUAUGUUUGAAAACACGUUAGAGCUUCUCAAAUAACCUGAUAUCUAAAAGGUUUUUUUCCUCCUGUUUAUCCAUAACCAGGAGUAUUCUGCUAGAUGCAUUUCAACCGGAUCAGGGUUAUUUUAGAUUUUAUAAUGAUUCUUGCUUGUGUAAACUCACACAAUCUGCCUGCAGAUUCAACUUCAAUGAUAAAAUGUCUCAUCAAAAAAUUGAGGCGGGCUAGAAUGUUUGGUUAAGAUUUAAUAUCUUUCUAACUAAUUAUAACACAGUGUCAAUAUAUGUUCUAAUAUCUGUGGAAAGGAAAGGAACAUAAAUGAUAUAGUUCCACUGUAGCAGGUCUUUUGUAAACAGUUAACGGUUAGGUGGAUGUCUGAGGCAAGGGCGAGAGUAUUGAUAAACCUGUUCCAAAGGGCUUGAGAAGUUGAAGUGAAUUCUAAAUGUAGAUUAGGAGCAAAUGAUGACAGCCAAGCCAGCAUUACCUCAGUUGAUUAAUUUAUAAGGAUACUGGUCAAUGAUUUUAACCAACAGCUAUGCAUAGUAGAAUUCUAAUGGGAUCUGUCUGUUAAGAUUACAUAAAGUAGAGCAUUUGAUUUAUUUCAUAGCUUUCCAACGCUCCACUUUAACUUCAUACAAAUAAUGCAUUAGUCACACUGGAUAAAAUGGCGUAUUGAAUAAAGUUGUGAUUUUGUCUGCCUCUUAUAAUCUGAUUUUUUAUAAAAGAUUAAAUCUGUUUUAGUAGUUUAUUCAUAUCAUAAAAGAGAUUGUCGCUUGAAUGAAAUCUUUACAUCUGCCACUUUCUAUCUCAUUAGAAAAGACAGUAACAUAAAGUUCCUCAUUUCCUCCCAGUCUGUUUUAUCCCCUGGUGUGUCUGAGUCUGUAUAUCUUCUGUACAUGUUUGUAUAUUAUAAUGUCAGUGUGUUUUCGAAGUUGUGGUUAAGACUGCGUCACAGCUUGGAGGGGUGGUAAUGCGAGGGGUUAUAAAUGUUCUGCAAAGAAAAUACCCACCCAGGAACAGAUGGGGCAUGCAGUAAGGGAUGACUGUCAAAAAUCUGAAAAUGAUGGGUUUUAGUGGCAUGGCCAUGUGUGUAUGCGUUGCCAGAUUCAGCAAGGUAUUUAAGUACAUGCAGUACUUCACUGUGAGUGUGCCGACGUCAGUGGACACAAGU